UAACUUUCAGGUUUUUUAGCACAAAAUGUAUUCUAAACCAGAAAAGCCCCUCUCAUGCCUGAGAGCCCUCUCUGCUGCGUCUCUCCCGCCAUCAACGACGAAGACCACUCACACUCAGAGGCCCAAAGUAUUCUUCCAACUCUUACCAUUUGCAAGUUUUUGUUCUUCUGAAUGAAAUAAAGAAAUUUUCACACGGUUUCUCUAGGAUUUGAACAAGGAUAGGCUGUAGCCAUCAAUGUCCACAAAGAGAGCCACGCUUCUAACAAUUAAUUCCAUUGCCACAUUAUCAAAGGCUUGUACUCUGUGCAGUGCUUCAAAUUCACUGAAAACUUUCACUUCGUUAAAACAUCUCUGUAUUGCCUCUGAAAGAUGGGAUAUCCAUUUGUUAAAGAAUGUGGAUUUGAACGAUGGAAAGCUGUAUGAUAUUAGGGAUGAGUCCAUCAUCACUGAUGAUCAUAUUGCAGACAAAAUGCAUACUUUCAAGUCCCUUGCCAGGGUCUUUAUUGGGUCUCCUUCAGUUCAGAAAGCAUUGAAGAACAACAUGGCAGCCUUAUCAGCUGGUAAAAUUUCUAUCGCAUUUGAUUGUUUUAGCAAAGAAAGUGAAAGAGAGCCUGCGCUUGUGAAUUCACUGACCAAAGUGAGCAAUUUCCUCAACAUUUCUGCCCAACAGAGGAAAUUAGUUCGUGCCAAAAUAUGUCUGCAAGUCACUCAGCAUCGAACAUGGACGAACACCCUUGGGGAGAUUCUCAAUGGAUUAAAAUCUGAUUUGGAUUAUUUGCAGCGUCAAUCCCCAAACAAAGGGAUCAAAAUGGGUCAGCAGAUUGUUUCUAGGUGUUUAAAGGUCUUGUCUGACUCAAACAUUUGCAAUGAUCUUGAUUCCACAUCUUGGAUGCGACUUGCACCUGUAAAAGCUGUUGAAUCUUAUUCUUCCCAGAAGUGGGAAGAUGUUCUUGACAUGUUUAAUGACCUCAUUGAAUAUCUAAAAUCUGAGAAGGAACUUAUCUUUCAUGUGACAAAGCUGGAGGUCAUGAAAGAGGGGCUGUGUCAAAUUAAGGAUGUAUUGAUUGAUAAAAGUAUUGGAUACAAGGAAGUUAGGCAUCAAGAAAGCUUAGUGCAGAAGAAGCUUUCAAAAACAUUAGGGUACUCAUCGAAGUGCUUGUUCACAUUGUUGUCAUAUUACCUCUAUGGACAUGUAAGAGAUAUUGAAAUAGAUAUAUGCGGUGGGAUUUAUAGUAGUGGAGGUGAGAAUAGGUUUUACUUGUGCAUGGGAAGGAUUUUGACUUCAAAUGAGGAAAAGAUGGUCUGGAGUGGGGUUAGGCAGUUAGAUAGGGCACUUGGGCUUUUUAAGUUUGUGUGGGAAACAGCAGGGAUGAAAGCAGUCUUGGACCUUCAAGGCCAUCUGUGGUGCGUUGGGGCUGAAGGCAGAAGGCUUACUUAUAAAGGAAAUACAUACUAUCUACAUGGGAUUAAUCUCUGACAGAUUCUUUUAUAAAAAUCUGUUCAGAUUUUGAAAUCAAUCUUGUGCAUUUAGUUGAGCUGUAUGUGACACUUUAAGCUGUUCAGCUGUUAUAUGCUAACAGACCUCUAGAAUAAGGAUAUGUUGCUUUGAAGGGUGUGAAAGAAGUCAAUGGGCUGACUCUAAAUUAGCUUGGUUGUAGAAACCCAGCUGAAUCUGUCAAAGCUCAAAAGAUCUUAAGCUUAUUGUGCUUGACAAUUUUAAGACUGGGCUUGAGUUUAGGAUUUUCCCAAAGGGAAUUCUGGCUCAGUGCCCACAGUUUGAGCCGUUUCUUGUAAAACUUUUCUUUCUAGUCAGUAAGAAGCAGUCAAAAGCACAAAGGGUCUAAAAUUCCCUUAAAAUCCAAUUAGAUAGAGCAAAUAAUUGCAUAAAAAGCUGAUUUGUUGCGUUCUUUCUCUGUCUUCUCUGAAAGUUGACACUCUCCCUCUGUCUAACGUUGCAACCAAAGGCAUCAUUGCUGUAGUCAUUGUGAGCUUAGUUAAGAAGACAGCAAGCAACAAACGUCGAGAGAAGCAUUGCCAUUGCCCAUUACCCAAUCAAUUAAUAAACAGCAGCACCAAAGAAUGGCCUGGAGAAGAAGCCCCAGAGAUGUAGCUUGAAUCACUCUCAGAAAAGAUAUCUGUACCACUUGUUGAUAAAAACCAGUAAGGCGCAUAUACAAUGAAUGAGGUUAAACUAAUUAUCACAGCCUGCUCAUAGAGAAAGAGCUAGAGGAUUUUGAUGCAGAAGUGAAAGUAUGGGGUUUGAUCUACGGGAUGCAGUUGACUUGGAAGCUUGACUACUAGAAGGUUGAAGUUGCAUAGUAUUCUUCUCUAGCCAUUUCUUGAAUUAAAAGAAGUGAUGGCACAGGUGUUCCAAGAGUCAUUGGUAGUAUCAGUGGCUAAGAAAUGGUUUGAAACUAGUUCGGUUAAUUUGUUUCAGACUGUGCUGUGAUUGGUUAAAGCUGUGAGCCAGUGGAGUGCUUGAUUUAGUAUUAUUAAUCUGACACAAUAGAGGAAAAUAACCGACAUGUAAACAUGGAGUUCUCAGGUUGAAUUUGGGUACUGGGAAAAACAGAUCAGAGAGUGAGAUCCAAGCUUUCUUCAUUCUUUCUUGAAGCUUGUAUAAGAGAGAUGAUGUGAGAGACGAUUCUACUCGAUAAUGUUCUUUUUCUUAAUGAAAUCCUCUUCAAAGUCUCGACAGCGGAUGUGGGCUACCUUUUAGCCUUUAUGUGCUUUUGUUGGUUUAGUUACUGUUGUUGGUUUUAAUGAUCCUAACUUUUUCUCGUUCUAUUAGAA